GGAGCAUAGGAGAGACCGUUACAGACACUGCAGGUGGGAAGGAAGGAACACAGAUUUCACAGAAGGGAUUUAUCAUACUUCUCAGCAAUUCUGGGGGGAAGGAACAGAUAACUCGGCAAGGGUUUCAGUAUGUGCUUUUGUCAUAAUUUCUACGUGCGCUUCUACGUGUAUUACGAAGCAUCCUGUUGCGCUAACAUGUUUGGUGCUGCCUUGCAGUCCUCUGUGAGUCAUGUCCACUCUGAACGGGGUUUGUUUUGAGGAGCUAUGCUACCUAAUGAGAAUUUUGCCAAUCUCCAGCACAGUGUGAUUGCCUAUUGGAAAAGAAGCAGUUAGAUAUGAAAUGAAUGAAUGACAUAAGCAACUUCUUUUUAACGUGCUCUUUUAGCUCUUCUUCCCUUGAUACUUCCUGCCGUUGUGUGCUUGCUUCCCCACUUGAUCCAUCGUAAAAGGGUUGAUCUCAAAAGAGCAAAUACUACUUUGAAAGUGGUUUUUUUUGUUUUGUUUUAUUUAUUUUUUUAUUUUUUUAAAUUGCAAGUGACUGACAUGGAAACAGCUUAAUAGUGGGAGAUGAAACUGGGACACUGGAGAUAAGAAAUUAAUAGGGGAGUUAAGCUAAAAGAUGAGUGAGGGGGAAGAGGGAGGGCAUGGGGGGAUGGAUUUGCUUAGGUGACUCAGGUGGGCAGCUGAGGAGAUCCAGCAGGGCUCUGAGAGUCUGAGGACUGGAUCAGAGGACUGGAGGUGGAGAUACAUUGCUGUGGCCUGUCAGGUAACAAAGAUGGGGUCCCAUCAUGGCAAAGAUAGCUGAGGAAAGGCUGAAGCCUGAAGCUGCACCUGGCAACUCUCGGCAACACUUCAGGCACUGCCUCUGUGUUACUUGGAGUGAUUUUCUAGCCAGUGCAUUUCAGGGCUUAAAGGACAUGCUGAGGGAGGGGGACAAAGGCUGAAAGGCAGCCCACUGAGAUCCCUGCAGUCGCUUCUGCAGCAAGCUGGUUGCUGCUCAGCAUUUGCGGCAGCCUGCCUGCCUUUGCUGGAUGAGCU
rnacentral:lncRNA from 1 species